AAAAUCAGCAUUUACAUCCGGAGCCAUUUUAUUCCGCAAGAGCACGCGCUGUGAUUGUCUUGGACUCUUUUAGCUGAACCCUAAAUUUUGUAAUAACUGAACUUAAAUAUGUCUCUUCAGCUACUUGCAUUCAUUUUGGGUAUUAAAACUGAUGUAACGUGAAUUCAAGCUUGAACAAAUUACAUGUAGGCACUUUGUGCAUGUAGCACUUUGAGCACGAGCAGCUCACGUGGCAGCAGCGUGGGCAGGCCGUGAAACACGAAGGAGCUGAACCGCAGAUUACCAGAAUAACAUGGUUGGGGCUCAUCAAAUGGAAGGUGACUAUGAACUGAAGCAAGUUUCCAGUGUUGUACAUAACUUAACUAUGCAUGUUCAUAAUAAAGAAAAACAUUCCCAUUUA